CAGUGAUCUUAGCUUGACAGAUGCUGAAAAGACCAAACUUUACCAACAGAAGAGCAGUGAGAUUAGUAAGAGUGCUUCUGACACUCAAAGUGUAGAACAGGGUGACUGAGCAACAGGUGAACAUUCGAGCUCAGGUAUACUUACGAAUGAGAGUUGGCCAUUUGGCAUGUCUAACUCCUUUGGUAAUUAACAGCUAAUUGUUCUGUGGAUCUCAUGCAGCUGUUUCUUGGAGGAAGAGAGAAACCUGUUGUGUAAAGAAGGUGUAAUGGUGUCUGGUGUCUUUUCCCUCUGGUAGAGAUUGAUGCUGACAUGCACAUGGAUAAAGGUUAUCGAAAGCGAGGACUGGAUGAGAGCAGCUCUUUGAGCACAAUGAACGCUCCAGACAAGAAAGGAGGUUACUGCAUCAAUUAUUACUGGGGCUAUUCCUGUACCCGCAGUGAGUAUACUGUUGUUUUUUAACAAAUUCCCACGACUAUACCAAGACUAAAUGGAUGAACAGUUUCAAAACUUUGAAUCCCAUCUCUUAAAACCUUUCAUUUCUUAUUUCAUGUUUGAAUUUCUCACACAAUGCUGUCUCUCUAAUUGUCUUUUUUUGCCCCUCAACAGGAAUUAGAUGCUAUCGGAGAUGUAAGUAUUCCCUUCUGUAUUUCUGUGCUUUG
rnacentral:lncRNA from 1 species